rnacentral:rRNA from 1 species
UACGUAGGGUGCAAGCGUUAAUCGGAAUUACUGGGCGUAAAGCGUGCGCAGGCGGUUGUGCAAGACAGAUGUGAAAUCCCCGGGCUCAACCUGGGAAUUGCAUUUGUGACUGCACGGCUAGAGUGUGUCAGAGGGGGUAGAAUUCCGCGUGUAGCAGUGAAAUGCGUAGAUAUGCGGAGGAACACCCGUGGCGAAGGCGGCCCCCUGGGUCGGCCCUGACGCUGAGGCGCGAAGGCUAGGGGAGCGAACGGG